AGAGUUUGAUCCUGGCUCAGAACGAACGCUGGCGGCGCGUUUUAAGCAUGCAAGUCGAACGGCAAGGUAAGAGCUUGCUCUUACCCUAGAGUGGCGGACUGGUGAGUAACGCGUGGGUAAUCUACCUAUAGGAUGGGGAUAGCUACUAGAAAUAGUAGAUAAUACCGAAUGUGCUUAUAUGUUAAAUCAUGUAAGGAAAGGGAGCUAAGGCUUUGCCUAAAGAAGAGCCUGCGUCCCAUUAGCUAGUUGGUACGGUAACGGCGUACCAAGGCGACGAUGGGUAUCCGACCUGAGAGGGUGACCGGACACAUUGGGACUGAGACACAGCCCAGACUCCUACGGGAGGCAGCAGCUAAGAAUCUUCCGCAAUGGGCGCAAGCCUGACGGAGCGACGCCGCGUGAAUGAAGAAGGCCGAAAGGUUGUAAAAUUCUUUUAAGUUUGAAGAAUAACCAGUAUAGGGAAUGAUACUGAGAUGACGGUAAAACUUGAAUAAGCCCCGGCUAAUUACGUGCCAGCAGCCGCGGUAACACGUAAGGGGCGAGCGUUGUUCGGAAUUAUUGGGCGUAAAGGGUAUGCAGGCGGUUAGAUAAGCCCGGUGUGAAAUGCUCAAGCUUAACUUGAGAACUGCACUAGGUACUGUCUAACUUGAAUCACGAAGGGGAAACUGGAAUUCCAGGUGUAGGGGUGGAAUCUGUAGAUAUCUGGAAGAAUACCGGUGGCGAAGGCGGGUUUCUGGUCGAUGAUUGACGCUGAGAUACGAAAGUGUGGGGAGCAAACAGGAUUAGAUGCCCUGGUAGUCCACACCAUAAACGAUGUACACUAGGUGUUGGGGCAAGAGCCUCAGUGCCGAAGCAAACGUGAUAAGUGUACCGCCUGGGGAGUAUGCCGGCAACGGUGAAACUCAAAGGAAUUGACGGGGGCCCACACAAGCGGUGGAGCAUGUGGUUUAAUUCGAGGGUACGCGAGGAACCUUACCUGGGUUUGACAUCAAGAGCAAUACUGUAGAGAUAUGGUAGCGUAGCAAUACGGCUUUUGACAGGUGCUGCAUGGCUGUCGUCAGCUCGUGCCGUGAGGUGUUGGGUUAAGUCCCGCAACGAGCGCAACCCCUACUG
rnacentral:rRNA from 1 species